GACGAACGCUGGCGGCGUGCUUAACACAUGCAAGUCGAACGGUAAGGCCCUUCGGGGUACACGAGUGGCGAACGGGUGAGUAACACGUGGGUGAUCUGCCCUGCACUUCGGGAUAAGCCUGGGAAACUGGGUCUAAUACCGGAUAGGACCACUGCCUGCAUGGGUGGUGGUGGAAAGCUUUUGCGGUGUGGGAUGGGCCCGCGGCCUAUCAGCUUGUUGGUGGGGUGAUGGCCUACCAAGGCGACGACGGGUAGCCGGCCUGAGAGGGUGACCGGCCACACUGGGACUGGGAUACGGCCCAGACUCCUACGGGAGGCAGUAGUGGGGAAUAUUGCACAAUGGGCGCAAGCCUGAUGCAGCGACGCCGCGUGAGGGAUGACGGCCUUCGGGUUGUAAACCUCUUUCAGCACCGACGAAGCGCAAGUGACGGUAGGUGCAGAAGAAGGACCGGCCAACUACGUGCCAGCAGCCGCCGCGGUAA
rnacentral:rRNA from 1 species